rnacentral:rRNA from 1 species
AAAUUGAAGAGUUUGAUCAUGGCUCAGAUUGAACGCUGGCGGCAGGCCUAACACAUGCAAGUCGAGCGGUAGCACAGAGAGCUUGCUCUCGGGUGACGAGCGGCGGACGGGUGAGUAAUGUCUGGGAAACUGCCUGAUGGAGGGGGAUAACUACUGGAAACGGUAGCUAAUACCGCAUAACGUCGCAAGACCAAAGUGGGGGACCUUCGGGCCUCAUGCCAUCAGAUGUGCCCAGAUGGGAUUAGCUAGUAGGUGGGGUAACGGCUCACCUAGGCGACGAUCCUAGCUGGUCUGAGAGGAUGACCAGCCACACUGGAACUGAGACACGGUCCAGACUCCUACGGGAGGCAGCAGUGGGGAAUAUUGCACAAUGGGCGCAAGCCUGAUGCAGCCAUGCCGCGUGUGUGAAGAAGGCCUUCGGGUUGUAAAGCACUUUCAGCGGGGAGGAAGGCGUUAAGGUUAAUAACCUCAUCGAUUGACGUUACCCGCAGAAGAAGCACCGGCUAACUCCGUGCCAGCAGCCGCGGUAAUACGGAGGGUGCAAGCGUUAAUCGGAAUUACUGGGCGUAAAGCGCACGCAGGCGGUCUGUCAAGUCGGAUGUGAAAUCCCCGGGCUCAACCUGGGAACUGCAUUCGAAACUGGCAGGCUAGAGUCUUGUAGAGGGGGGUAGAAUUCCAGGUGUAGCGGUGAAAUGCGUAGAGAUCUGGAGGAAUACCGGUGGCGAAGGCGGCCCCCUGGACAAAGACUGACGCUCAGGUGCGAAAGCGUGGGGAGCAAACAGGAUUAGAUACCCUGGUAGUCCACGCCGUAAACGAUGUCGAUUUGGAGGUUGUGCCCUUGAGGCGUGGCUUCCGGAGCUAACGCGUUAAAUCGACCGCCUGGGGAGUACGGCCGCAAGGUUAAAACUCAAAUGAAUUGACGGGGGCCCGCACAAGCGGUGGAGCAUGUGGUUUAAUUCGAUGCAACGCGAAGAACCUUACCUGGUCUUGACAUCCACAGAACUUAGCAGAGAUGCUUUGGUGCCUUCGGGAACUGUGAGACAGGUGCUGCAUGGCUGUCGUCAGCUCGUGUUGUGAAAUGUUGGGUUAAGUCCCGCAACGAGCGCAACCCUUAUCCUUUGUUGCCAGCGGUCCGGCCGGGAACUCAAAGGAGACUGCCAGUGAUAAACUGGAGGAAGGUGGGGAUGACGUCAAGUCAUCAUGGCCCUUACGACCGGGCUACACACGUGCUACAAUGGCAUAUACAAAGAGAAGCGACCUCGCGAGAGCAAGCGGACCUCAUAAAGUAUGUCGUAGUCCGGAUUGAGUCUGCAACUCGACUCCAUGAAGUCGGAAUCGCUAGUAAUCGUAGAUCAGAAUGCUACGGUGAAUACGUUCCCGGGCCUUGUACACACCGCCCGUCACACCAUGGGAGUGGGUUGCAAAAGAAGUAGCUUAACCUUCGGGAGGGCGCUUACCACUUUGUGAUUCAUGACUGGGGUGAAGUCGUAACAAGGUAACCGUAGGGGAACCUGCGGUUGGAUCACCUCCUUACCUUAAAGAA